AUUGAACGCUGGCGGCAGGCCUAACACAUGCAAGUCGAGCGGAUGAAGGGAGCUUGCUCCUGGAUUCCGCGGCGGACGGGUGAGUAAUGCCUAGGAAUCUGCCUGGUCGUGGGGGAUAACGUCCGGAAACGGGCGCUAAUACCGCAUACGUCCUGAGGGAGAAAGUGGGGGAUCUUCGGACCUCACGCUAUCAGAUGAGCCUAGGUCGGAUUAGCUAGUUGGUGGGGUAAAGGCCUACCAAGGCGACGAUCCGUAACUGGUCUGAGAGGAUGAUCAGUCACACUGGAACUGAGACACGGUCCAGACUCCUACGGGAGGCAGCAGUGGGGAAUAUUGGACAAUGGGCGAAAGCCUGAUCCAGCCAUGCCGCGUGUGUGAAGAAGGUCUUCGGAUUGUAAAGCACUUUAAGUUGGGAGGAAGGGCAGUAAGUUAAUACCUUGCUGUUUUGACGUUACCAACAGAAUAAGCACCGGCUAACUUCGUG
rnacentral:rRNA from 1 species